ACCCUGGGAUAGCUCGGCUGGUAAAGCAUGAGACUCUUCAUCUCAGGGUUGUGGGUUCAAGUCCCACAUAGGGCA